GACGAACGCUGGCGGCGUGCUUAACACAUGCAAGUCGAACGGAAAGGCCCUGCUUUUGUGGGGUUCUCGAGUGGCGAACGGGUGAGUAACACGUGAGUAACCUGCCCUUGACUUUGGGAUAACUUCAGGAAACUGGGGCUAAUACCGGAUAGGAGCUCCUGCUGCAUGGUGGGGGUUGGAAAGUUUCGGCGGUUGGGGAUGGACUCGCGGCUUAUCAGCUUGUUGGUGGGGUAGUGGGUUACCAAGCCUUUGACGGGUAGCCGGCCUGAGAGGGUGACCGGCGACCCUGGGACUGAGAUACGGCCCAGAUGGGUACGGGAGGAAGCAGUGGGGAAUAUUGCACAAUGGGCGGAGGCCUGAUGCAGAAACCCCGCGUGCGGGAUGACGGCUUUCGGGGUAUAAAAAGAUUUCGACUGUAACGACCCGUGAGUGACGGUAACGGAUAAAGAAGCAACGGCUAACUACGUG
rnacentral:rRNA from 1 species